rnacentral:rRNA from 1 species
UACGAAGGGUGCAAGCGUUACUCGGAAUUACUGGGCGUAAAGCGUUCGUAGGUGGUUCGUUAAGUCUGAUGUGGAAGCCCUGGGCUCAACCUGGGAAUGGCAUUGGAUACUGGCGACCUAGAGUGCGGUAGAGGGGUGUGGAAUUCCCGGUGUAGCAGUGAAAUGCGUAGAUAUCGGGAGGAACAUCUGUGGCGAAGGCGACACCCUGGACCAGCACUGACACUGAGGCGCGAAAGCGUGGGGAGCAAACAGG